GUCAGCGAGGGUCACGCAGCCCUAAGUCCGGGGGCCUGUGCUGUGUCUGGGGAGGGAGAGGUGGAGGCUGCCUGGCCUCUCCUGGCCUGAACCAGAGGGUGGGUGACCAUGGUGCUGUCCUUGAGAUCCUGGAAUUUCUGGCUGAGGCAGGAGCAAGGGAGCCUGUCCUGGACACCCCACUAGGUGCUGGCUGAGAGUGGGCAGCUCCCCCUGGACAGCAGCCUGGGAAAGGAACAAGGCUGGCCUGCCAUGAGAGUUGGGCCUGGGGCAGAGGAGGAGGGGGAGGGACAGGUGUGGCCAGCUCUGCAGGGCCCCUGAGAUUGGCGGAUGAGGAUGGGAAGUGUCCCCUUAGCCCACAGGGGUCCUCAGUGCUAGACACCAAGCAGUGUUACCAUCCAGGGCCUCUGCCAAGCCCCACUGGUUAGGGGGCUUCUUUAUCUGGCGGAACUCCAGGCCCUCCCAGCCUCUUGCCCAGCAGCCUGCUGCCCCUGACCCACACCCAGACCCACUCUCUGUCCAGUCCUCCCGCUGCCCUUCUGCUGCUCUUUCUGGGAGACAGAAAGGUGACUCCUAAAGGAGAGGGGAGCAAGUGGCCCUGGUGCCAGAGUGCCAGCAGCUCGGGAGCCUGGCCCAGGCAGGCAGCAGGCUCAGCAGUGGUCCCCGAGAGUCACCCCAGUGCAGGGGUGGGGCUAUUUGCCUGCUCCUGUGUGUCCCGCAGCCCUGAGGCAGCGUGGCACCCCUGCUGUGGGAGCAAGAGGGCUGCAGGGUGGUGUGCCUACAGCCAAGGUGCCCCCAUCCCUGGCUGAGUGCAGGGGCAGGGGCAGCUCAGGCCGGUCCACAGGUAGGGCACUGGGCUCCGGAGGGUGGGCGCGCAGCCGCAGCCGGAGAGGAGGAAACGCCGCCGUCUCUCUGUCCCUUGUCUGUCCCUGUCUGUCCUCUGGCCCUCUGGGCUUGUCUGACUGCUCACCUGUGUGUCCCUCAGUUUCUGUCCCUCCCUUUCUGAGUUCCUGCCUCCCUCCCUCCCUCCCCAGUGGCCUCCUGCCCUGCAGUCAGGCCUGGGUCCCCGCUCCCUGGCCCUGGAAGCUGGACGCGGGGCCUCCCUACCUCGCCCUCUCCCUCCUGACCCGUUCCAGUCGGCCACCCUGCCCUGUGAGGAGCCUGGGACUCUCCCAGAGAGCUUCUCCACCUUGCUGGGCCCCCGCAGGGCCCCGGAGACCUCUUCCUGAGUCUCCAGGUCCCCUUAGAGCUCUGGGCCUCGGGGAGGCUCUGACUGGGCUCUGCUGCAGCCCCAGGGGCCAGGAACCCAGCG
rnacentral:lncRNA from 1 species